GUGCCAGCCGCCGCGGUAAUACGUAGGGUGCGAGCGUUAAUCGGAAUUACUGGGCGUAAAGCGUGCGCAGGCGGUUUUGUAAGACAGGUGUGAAAUCCCCGGGCUUAACCUGGGAACUGCAUUUGUGACUGCAAGGCUAGAGUAUGGCAGAGGGGGGUAGAAUUCCACGUGUAGCAGUGAAAUGCGUAGAGAUGUGGAGGAAUACCGAUGGCGAAGGCAGCCCCCUGGGUCAAUACUGACGCUCAUGCACGAAAGCGUGGGGAGCAAACAGGAUUAGAUACCCGUGUAGUCC
rnacentral:rRNA from 1 species